AAAACACCUUAUAGUCACCUGCGGGUUAUCCGUAAUAACCUAAUUUUAAAGUUUACAAGUCAUUUUCUCUCUCUCCGGCCGACGCGUCCACCUCUCUAUCUCUCUCUCUCUCUCUCACUCUCGCUCUCACAAACAAAUGCGAACUCUCAUUUCCAGCGUAUAAAAACCGCCGUAAUAGGAGCAGGCAACGCCGGAAGUUUGACAUAGAGUUCCGGCGAUGGCAUCAGAGGACGUGAAGACAGGGGAGAUUGCAGUCUCGAAGAUCGUGAAUCUGGCUGAGGAGGCGAAGCUAGCGAGAGAAGGAGUUAAGGCUCCAAGCCACGCCCUUGUCAGUAUCUGCAAGUCCCUAAUUGCCGGUGGAGUCGCUGGAGGAGUGUCACGUACUGCUGUUGCUCCCUUGGAAAGAUUAAAAAUUCUGCUCCAGGUUCAAAAUCCACACAGUAUAAAAUACAAUGGUACAAUUCAGGGCUUGAAAUACAUAUGGAAAACUGAAGGUUUCAGAGGAAUGUUUAAAGGCAAUGGCACUAAUUGUGCUCGCAUUAUUCCAAAUUCAGCAGUCAAGUUCUUUAGUUAUGAGGAAGCAUCCAAAGGCAUACUAUUUAUUUACAGGCAGCAAACUGGAAAUGAUGAUGCUCAGCUUACUCCUCUUUUACGUCUUGGAGCUGGUGCAUGUGCUGGAAUUAUUGCCAUGUCUGCAACUUACCCAAUGGACAUGGUUCGGGGACGGCUAACUGUCCAGACAGAAAAGUCUCCUCGCCAGUACAAGGGAAUCUUUCAUGCUCUUACAACAGUCCUCAAGGAAGAAGGUCCUCGGGCUUUAUACAAAGGAUGGCUGCCUUCUGUCAUAGGAGUGAUACCAUAUGUGGGGCUAAACUUUGCUGUGUAUGAAUCCCUGAAAGACUGGUUACUCAAAUCCAAACCUUUUGGACUAGUUCAAGACAAUGAGUUGGGAGUGACAACAAGGCUUGCAUGUGGAGCAGCUGCUGGAACUGUUGGCCAGACAGUUGCUUACCCUCUUGAUGUUAU
rnacentral:misc_RNA from 1 species